rfam:Rattus norvegicus chromosome 6, whole genome shotgun sequence.
GGAGUUAGCUCAGUGGUAGAGCGCUUGCCUAGCAAGCGCAAGGCCCUGGGUUCGGUCCCCAGCUCCA